rnacentral:tRNA from 1 species
GCGGACUUAGUUCAUCGGUAGAACGGCAGCUUCCCAAGCUGCAGAGGCGGGUUCGAUUCCCGUAGUCCGCUCCA